rnacentral:rRNA from 1 species
UUGGAGGGCAAGUCUGGUGCCAGCAGCCGCGGUAAUUCCAGCUCCAAUAGCGUAUAUCAAAGUUGUUGCAGUUAAAAAGCUCGUAGUUGAAUUUCGGGAUCAAUGUUUCGGUCAUGCCGUUGGUAUGUACUGAUAUUAUUGAUUUCUCACCUUCUAAAGAACCGUAAUGCCAUUAAUUUGGUGUCACGGGGAAUUAGGACUGUUACCUUGAAAAAAUUAGAGUGUUUAAAGCAGGCUCACGCUUGAAUACAUUAGCAUGGAAUAAUGAAAUAGGACAUCCGAUUCUAUUUUGUUGGUUUCUAGGAUCGAUGUAAUGAUUAAUAGGGAUAGUUGGGGGCAUUAGUAUUCAAUUGUCAGAGGUGAAAUUCUUGGAUUUAUUGAAGACUAACUACUGCGAAAGCAUUUGCCAAGGAUGUUUUCGUUAAUCAAGAACGAAAGUUAGGGGAUCGAAGACGAUCAGAUACCGUCGUAGUCUUAACCAUAAACUAUGCCGACUAGGGAUCGGAUGAUGUUAAUUUUUUAAUGACUCAUUCGGCGCCUUACGGGAAAC